CCAGAUCCAGGUUCAACAGCAUAGGUUUUUCAGCAGACAAUCACAACCAUGAAAACGCCCAAAAUGGCUCCAUGAAUGGAACGAUAAAAAGACCAAAGAGAUGGACACUAGCACAAAAACUUACGAGCCAAAAGGGACAGUGGCCUGCCGAGCCCUGGGCACAAUUAUUGAGAAUUGCUAUUGGUCCACGUGUCUCCAUCCCCCCGGCCUCCACCCUAGACCUGGCCACCUCUUCUCUCCCCUGGAUUCCCUGAAGCACCCUCAGUCUGGCCUUCCCACUCCUGUUGCCCACUCUCCAUGCCAUAGCCAAAGCGAUCUUUUAUAAAGGCAAGAUUGUGCCACUGCAUUCCAACCUGAGCGACAGCAAGA
rnacentral:lncRNA from 10 species